rnacentral:rRNA from 1 species
GUGGGGAAUAUUGCACAAUGGGGGAAACCCUGAUGCAGCGACGCCGCGUGAGUGAAGAAGUAUUUCGGUAUGUAAAGCUCUAUCAGCAGGGAAGAAAAGAAUGACGGUACCUGACUAAGAAGCCCCGGCUAACUACGUGCCAGCAGCCGCGGUAAUACGUAGGGGGCAAGCGUUAUCCGGAUUUACUGGGUGUAAAGGGAGCGUAGACGGUGAAGCAAGUCUGAAGUGAAAGGUUGGGGCUCAACCCCGAAACUGCUUUGGAAACUGUUUGACUGGAGUACAGGAGAGGUAAGUGGAAUUCCUAGUGUAGCGGUGAAAUGCGUAGAUAUUAGGAGGAACACCAGUGGCGAAGGCGGCUUACUGGACUGUAACUGACGUUGAGGCUCGAAAGCGUGGGGAGCAAACAGGAUUAGAAACCCUUGUAGUCC